GACGAACGCUGGCGGCGUGCUUAACACAUGCAAGUCGAACGGUAAGGCCCUUCGGGGUACACGAGUGGCGAACGGGUGAGUAACACGUGGGUGAUCUGCCCUGCACUUCGGGAUAAGCCUGGGAAACUGGGUCUAAUACCGGAUAGGACUCCGGACUGCAUGGUCUGGGGUGGAAAGCUUUUGCAGUGUGGGAUGGGCCCGCGGCCUAUCAGCUUGGUGGUGGGGUGAUGGCCUACCAAGGCGACGACGGGUAGCCGGCCUGAGAGGGUGACCGGCCACACUGGGACUGAGAUACGGCCCAGACUCCUACGGGAGGCAGCAGUGGGGAAUAUUGCACAAUGGGCGCAAGCCUGAUGCAGCGACGCCACGUGAGGGAUGACGGCCUUCGGGUUGUAAACCUCUUUCAGCACCGACGAAGCGCAAGUGACGGUAGGUGCAGAAGAAGGACCGGCCAACUACGUGCCAGCCGCCGCAGUAA
rnacentral:rRNA from 1 species